rnacentral:rRNA from 1 species
UACGAAGGGGGCUAGCGUUGCUCGGAUUGACUGGGCGUAAAGGGCGCGUAGGCGGCUUGCCAAGUCCGGGGUGAAAGCCCCCAGCUCAACUGGGGAAGGGCCUCGAAUACUGGCGAGCUCGAGGGAGGUAGGGGUCGAGGGAACUUCUGGUGGAGCGGUGAAAUGCGUUGAUAUCAGAAGGAACGCCGGUGGCGAAAGCGCUCGACUGGAUCUCUACUGACGCUGAGGCGCGAAAGCUAGGGGAGCAAACGGG